rnacentral:snRNA from 1 species
AUACUUAACUGGCAGCGGAGGUAUCAUGAUCAUGACGGUAGUUUUUCCAGGCUUAUCCAUUGCACUGUGUAUGUUUUGACCAGCAAUUUUACCAAUUACUUUGUUGUAAAAACAUUACUUUGCUGUAAUGGGGGGAGGGGACUGUAUUUCUACUCUCCCAUG